AGUCAGCCUCUCACUCUCUACCCGCUGGGCGGUACCCCGCAUCUCGCUCUGGCCGCCCCAGAGGUUCGCGGCUUCUGGACCUGCUGUGCCCCUCUCCAGCCUGGAUCAGGACGGAGAACACCCCCGAAACCCACCUCACCAGCACAGCCGGCGGACCCUUCCGGAGGUGGCCGCAGAGACUAGCCAACUUGCGCGCCCGCCGACCCGGACCACAGCUCCCAGCACACCUCAAGGGCCCACGCCCGCCAGGACUACAAUUCCCGGCGUCCUCCGGAAGCUCAAGUGUACCCAGGCGCGGUGCCUGCUGGGAAUUGUAGUUGACGUUGGUCAGCACGGAGGCCACAGGAUCCCAGCCCGGCCUUUGUGGGACUGAGGUGGCGCUGAGUGGGAGAGCAGCAGGCGAUGCGCGAAAGGCGGGACUUGGAGAUAAAUACUGAGCACCCACAACAGGCAGCCAGCACCACUGCAGAUUGGAUACUGCAAUGAUGAUAAGCAUGGCCUGCCUUUAUGGAGGUUCUGGAUGUUCCUGUGGAUAACCUCAAGGAGCACGGGACCUGGGACAUGACUGCCCCCAGCAUUCCUUCUGGCGGCAGACAGAGUUUGUCAGUUCGCCAACAUCCUGCUUUCAUGAGAACAGUUUGCUGUUUGCUCACAGAGCCUCCAGUGGUAUACUGAGUUGGUCACGACCCUCAUUCCUUCGGCCUCCAACAUCUCCCCUUUUGUUUUUGCAUUAAUUGAAUAAAGGUAAUUUCAGGCUGUGCAGCUUUCAAUUGCCGGUUGGUGGUUCACCCGAUCCUAUAGACUAUGAGCAAAAAAACAGAGACAUAACAACAUUAUUCUUGUAAUUAUUAUAAAAGAGACAUUGAAGUUAUGUUUAAGAUGCUGUUAUUCAUAAAUGGGAGUGUUGCCUUCCAUAUCGAUUCCUGAAUUGGGCCUCUGUUUCCUAGAUGACGUCACUGAGAUUCCGCUGGCUCAUGGCUCGUACUGGAGGUAACAGGCCCACGGUUGAAUACCAUGGAUCCCUCCGGUCUCCCGUUCCAUGGUCACACACACCUGGAGGGCACCCACACGGUUUGUCCAUCUCCUGUAAAAACACAAGCAUACCCUCGUCCCCACGUCAGCAAAUCCACCGGACCUUUCCAUUGUCCUUCUUCUGGGGAUUUCCAUAACACUUUUGGAUAAACUUGCCUCUUUUCCUCUAGCAGUUGCCAGUGUCGUUCUGCUGGGGUCUUGCCAUCCGUACCAGGAGUCAAACAAUUUAAAGUAAACAAGGCUAAAUGUAAUUUUGUUUGAAGUGGUAAUUGGUCCCCUAUUCUCCCUUUUUGUUUUUUCAGCAUGCGUUGUAGUGUUUGAUGUACCCGCUCAAUAAUGCCUGGCCCUCAGGGAUUGUAUGGAAUUCCUGUUUUAUGAUUGAUUGCCCACAAUUGUAAAAAAUUGGGAAAGCAUGACUAACAUAAGCGAGUCCACUGUCAGUUUUAAAUUGUUUAGGGACCCCCAUAUGGGCAAAUGACGACAGACAGUAUCGUCAGACAUGACCAGCUGUUUCCCCAGUUUGGCAUGUGGCAUGUAACAUAUGGGAGUAAGUGUCUAUAUUACAUGAACAUAGCGGAGUUAGCCAAAGGCUGCUAUAUAUAUGUAACAUCCAUCUGCCAGAUUUCAUUUGGAGCCAAGCCUCGUGGGUUGCAUCCUUCCACAGGUGCAACACCAGGGACAUGCUGGCAAGUGGGGCAGGCUUGCACAAUAACUCAAGCCUGGCUGCGAGGCAGAUGAAACAUACGAGUAAGGGCAAGUUGUUCUGAUGCAGUAAAGCAUGGGAAGCUUGGGCUUGUUGAAAUAUAGAACUGAUGAAUUUAUCUGCUCUAUCAUUACCUAGAGAUAGUGGCCCCAGGAAGUUGUGUGUGAGAUCGGAUAUGAGAAAUAUGAAAAGGGGCAGCAUGAGAGCGAACAGCUUUUUGGAGUCUCAGAAAUAGGUUAAGCAGUUCUGGUUUUAAGGUGCUCUUGUGUGGGCGGCAAGCCAUCCAGGCGCCGAAGCAAGAGACAGAGGACACGGGCUGUUCCAGUAUAAUAAAAUAUAAAACAAGAAUAGUUAUACCAGAUAUAGAUCUUAGAUAUGAUUAUAUAUGAAUAUCAUUAAUCAUUAGUUUGUAGCAAUUACUUUUUAUUCCAAUAUUACAAUAAUCCUUGCUCUAUAAUCAUAGCCUAGGAAAAACCAGGCCAUACAGAGAUAGGAGCUGAGGGGACAUAGUGAGGUGUGACCAGAAGACAAGAGUGCGAGCCUUCUGUUAUGCCCAGACAGGGCCACCAGAGGGCUCCUUGGUCUAGUGGUGACGCCAGCGUUUGGGAAGACCGUGGUCUAGCGGUAGCGAAAAGUGUCAAGGAACAACACCCGCUACUUAGCAGACCGGGAAAGGGUGGGGGGCGGUCUCCCUUUCCCUGGGGGAGGUUAGAGAAGACUCUGCUCCUCCACCUCUUGUGGAGGGCCUGACAUUAGUCAGGCUCGCCCACAGUUAUCCGGAGGCCUAACCGUCUCCCUGUGAUUCUGUGCUUCAGUGGUCACGCUCCUAGUCCGCCUUCAUGUUCCAUCCUGUACACCUGGCUCUGCCUUCUAGAUAGCAGUAGUAAAUUAGUGAAAGUACUAAUAGUCCCUGAUAUGCAGAAAUAAUGGCGUAAGCUGUCUUUCUCUCUGUCUCCUCUCCCUCUCUGCCUCGGCUGCCAGGCAGGGAAGGGCCCCCUGACCAGUGGACACAUGACCCACGUGACCUUACCUAUCAUUGGAGAUGACUCACACUCUUUACCCUGCCCCUUUUGCUUUGUAUCC
ensembl:lncRNA novel transcript, antisense to ERVK3-1